AGUGAACGUUGGCGGUAGGCCUAACACAUGCAAGUCGAACGGCAGCACAUUAAGAGCUUGCUCUUACGGGUGGCGAGUGGCGGACGGGUGAGGAAUACAUCGGAAUCUACUUUUUCGUGGGGGAUAACGUAGGGAAACUUACGCUAAUACCGCAUACGACCUACGGGUGAAAGCAGGGGAUCUUCGGACCUUGCGCGAUUGAAUGAGCCGAUGUCGGAUUAGCUAGUUGGCGGGGUAAAGGCCCACCAAGGCGACGAUCCGUAGCUGGUCUGAGAGGAUGAUCAGCCACACUGGAACUGAGACACGGUCCAGACUCCUACGGGAGGCAGCAGUGGGGAAUAUUGGACAAUGGGAGCAAGCCUGAUCCAGCAAUACCGCGUGGGUGAAGAAGGCAUUCGGGUUGUAAAGCCCUUUUGUUGGGAAAGAAAAGCAGCAGGUUAAUAACCAGCUGUUCUGACGGUACCCAAAGAAUAAGCACCGGCUAACUUCGUG
rnacentral:rRNA from 1 species